UCACUCAUGUUUCACCUCAUAUCGCAUAAAUCUUUCGCCUUUUACUAAAGAUUUCCGUGGGGAGGAAUGCAAUGAGUAUAUUGUAAUUUUUUGAUGCCCUACUUUAUUGUGGGGCU